GGCUGGUCUGAUGGUAGUGUAUUAUCAGAACUUAUUAACAUUGGUGUCACUAAAGUUAAUAUACAACCCCCAACUGCUAAAUUUGACUGGCUUUAA
rnacentral:Y_RNA from 1 species